AUCGCUUCCUGGCCUUUCGGUUAAGAGCAGCUGUAGUAUCUGUUCUUAUCAGUUUAAUAUCUGAUACGUCCCCCUAUCUGGUGACCAUAUAUUAAUGGUUUUCUGAGAAUGGGGGCUGAUUCGAAACUUGCUUCCGUCACCCUAUGCAUUGACCCAAUAUGGCAGUAUCUUCGGAUACAGUGCAUCUCCC